rnacentral:lncRNA from 1 species
UGGUCUCUCCAACCUGGAUUAUAUGUAUUGGAAUAUGGAUCAUAUCUAGGUUGGUUGUUGUAUCUCCCAAUUGCAUUGACUUGCUGAUUGUCUUUUUGGAGGGUAGGACAUUGAUCAGUGGGGUGUCCUACGUAUAAGCAGAUCCCACAUGGCCUAGGAGGCUGGGGUGCUUGAAUCUGUUGCACAACAUCUACCACAAUAUUUUUCAUAACAGAUGUUAGUUCAGACAUGGUGGGAAAACUUACCUCAUUGGCCCUUUGUAGUUGCCUUUCUUCUCCAUACUGCCUAGAUG